AGUAAAAGUCGUAACAAGGUCUCCGUUGGUGAACCAGCGGAGGGAUCAUUACCGAGUUUACAACUCCCAAACCCCUGUGAACAUACCACUUGUUGCCUCGGCGGAUCAGCCCGCUCCCGGUAAAACGGGACGGCCCGCCAGAGGACCCCUAAACUCUGUUUCUAUAUGUAACUUCUGAGUAAAACCAUAAAUAAAUCAAAACUUUCAACAACGGAUCUCUUGGUUCUGGCAUCGAUGAAGAACGCAGCAAAAUGCGAUAAGUAAUGUGAAUUGCAGAAUUCAGUGAAUCAUCGAAUCUUUGAACGCACAUUGCGCCCGCCAGUAUUCUGGCGGGCAUGCCUGUUCGAGCGUCAUUUCAACCCUCAAGCACAGCUUGGUGUUGGGACUCGCGUUAAUUCGCGUUCCUCAAAUUGAUUGGCGGUCACGUCGAGCUUCCAUAGCGUAGUAGUAAAACCCUCGUUACUGGUAAUCGUCGCGGCCACGCCGUUAAACCCCAACUUCUGAAUGUUGACCUCGGAUCAGGUAGGAAUACCCGCUGAACUUAAG
rnacentral:rRNA from 1 species